ACGCUGGCGGCAGGCUUAACACAUGCAAGUCGAACGGUAACAGGGAUUAGCUUGCUAAUCUGCUGACGAGUGGCGGACGGGUGAGUAAUGCUUGGGAAUCUGGCUUAUGGAGGGGGAUAACUACGGGAAACUGUAGCUAAUACCGCGUAAAAUCUUCGGAUUAAAGGGUGGGACUUUCGAGCCACCUGCCAUAAGAUGAGCCCAAGUGGGAUUAGGUAGUUGGUUAGGUAAAGGCUGACCAAGCCGACGAUCUCUAGCUGGUCUGAGAGGAUGACCAGCCACACUGGAACUGAGACACGGUCCAGACUCCUACGGGAGGCAGCAGUGGGGAAUAUUGCACAAUGGGGGGAACCCUGACGCAGCCAUGCCGCGUGAAUGAAGAAGGCCUUCGGGUUGUAAAGUUCUUUCGGUGACGAGGAAGGUUGGUAGGUUAAUAGCCUAUCAAAUUGACGUUAAUCACAGAAGAAGCACCGGCUAACUCCGUGCCAGCAGCCGCGGUAAUACGGGGGGUGCGAGCGUUAAUCGGAAUAACUGGGCGUAAAGGGCACGCAGGCGGUGACUUAAGUGAGAUGUGAAAGCCCCGAGCUUAACUUGGGAAUUGCAUUUCAUACUGGGUCGCUAGAGUACUUUAGGGAGGGGUAGAAUUCCACGUGUAGCGGUGAAAUGCGUAGAGAUGUGGAGGAAUACCGAAGGCGAAGGCAGCCCCUUGGGAAUGUACUGACGCUCAUGUGCGAAAGCGUGGGGAGCAAACAGGAUUAGAUACCCUGGUAGUCCACGCUGUAAACGAUGUCGAUUUGGGGAUUGGGCUUUGAGCUUGGUGCCCGUAGCUAACGUGAUAAAUCGACCGCCUGGGGAGUACGGCCGCAAGGUUAAAACUCAAAUGAAUUGACGGGGGCCCGCACAAGCGG
rnacentral:rRNA from 1 species